GAUGAACGCUGGCGGCGUGCCUAACACAUGCAAGUCGAACGAACAGACCCGGCUCUUUCUCUUCUGUCGUUGCCAACGGGUGGGUAACACGUAAGUAACUUACCUUUAACUCUGACAUAAAUAUGUUCGAGAAACCCGAACAACUACCGGGAACUUCCUCCACCCGCAUGGUUCUUUAAAGAAAUAUGGUUUUUGUGUCGCCUCUCGGUGUAUCCGCUCCGUAUUAGCUUGUUGGUAAGGUAACGCCUUGCCAAGGAAACGAUGGGUAGCCGACCGGAGAGGGGGAUCGGCCACACGGGAAGUGAGACGCGGUCCAGGCUCCUACGGGAGGCAGCAGUAGGGAAUGGGACGCAAUGGGCGAAAGCCUGACAGAGCAACGCCGCGUGAGUGAUGGAGGUCUUCGGAGCGUAAAGCUGUGUUAUGGGUGAAAAACAAAUUUGUAAGGAACAAUGCACGACGUGACGGUACCUGAUCAGAAAGCCACGGCUAACUACGUG
rnacentral:rRNA from 1 species